rnacentral:rRNA from 1 species
GCAUAUCAAUAAGCGGAGGAAAAGAAACCAACAGGGAUUGCCCUAGUAACGGCGAGUGAAGCGGCAACAGCUCAAAUUUGAAAUCUGGCCUCGGCCCGAGUUGUAAUUUGCAGAGGAAGCUUUAGGCGCGGCACCUUCUGAGUCCCCUGGAACGGGGCGCCAUAGAGGGUGAGAGCCCCGUAUAGUUGGAUGCCUAGCCUGUGUAAAGCUCCUUCGACGAGUCGAGUAGUUUGGGAAUGCUGCUCAAAAUGGGAGGUAAAUUUCUUCUAAAGCUAAAUACCGGCCAGAGACCGAUAGCGCACAAGUAGAGUGAUCGAAAGAUGAAAAGCACUUUGAAAAGAGGGUUAAAUAGCACGUGAAAUUGUUGAAAGGGAAGCGCUUGUGACCAGACUUGCGCCGGGCUGAUCAUCCGGUGUUCUCACCGGUGCACUCUGCCCGGCUCAGGCCAGCAUCGGUUCUCGCGGGGGGAUAAAGGCCCAGGGAACGUAGCUCCUCCGGGAGUGUUAUAGCCCUGGGUGCAAUGCCCUCGCGGGGACCGAGGUUCGCGCAUCUGCAAGGAUG